rnacentral:rRNA from 1 species
UACUGCCUGUAAGACUGGGAUAACUCCGGGAAACCGGGGCUAAUACCGGAUGCUUGAUUGAACCGCAUGGUUCAAUCAUAAAAGGUGGCUUUUAGCUACCACUUGCAGAUGGACCCGCGGCGCAUUAGCUAGUUGGUGAGGUAACGGCUCACCAAGGCGACGAUGCGUAGCCGACCUGAGAGGGUGAUCGGCCACACUGGGACUGAGACACGGCCCAGACUCCUACGGGAGGCAGCAGUAGGGAAUCUUCCGCAAUGGACGAAAGUCUGACGGAGCAACGCCGCGUGAGUGAUGAAGGUUUUCGGAUCGUAAAACUCUGUUGUUAGGGAAGAACAAGUACCGUUCGAAUAGGGCGGCACCUUGACGGUACCUAACCAGAAAGCCACGGCUAACUACGUGCCAGCAGCCGCGGUAAUACGUAGGUGGCAAGCGUUGUCCGGAAUUAUUGGGCGUAAAGCGCGCGCAGGCGGUUUCUUAAGUCUGAUGUGAAAGCCCCCGGCUCAACCGGGGAGGGUCAUUGGAAACUGGGGAACUUGAGUGCAGAAGAGGAGAGUGGAAUUCCACGUGUAGCGGUGAAAUGCGUAGAGAUGUGGAGGAACACCAGUGGCGAAGGCGACUCUCUGGUCUGUAACUGACGCUGAGGCGCGAAAGCGUGGGGAGCGAACAGGAUUAGAUACCCUGGUAGUCCACGCCGUAAACGAUGAGUGCUAAGUGUUAGAGGGUUUCCGCCCUUUAGUGCUGCAGCAAACGCAUUAAGCACUCCGCCUGGGGAGUACGGUCGCAAGACUGAAACUCAAAGGAAUUGACGGGGGCCCGCACAAGCGGUGGAGCAUGUGGUUUAAUUCGAAGCAACGCGAAGAACCUUACCAGGUCUUGACAUCCUCUGACAACCCUAGAGAUAGGGCUUCCCCUUCGGGGGCAGAGUGACAGGUGGUGCAUGGUUGUCGUCAGCUCGUGUCGUGAGAUGUUGGGUUAAGUCCCGCAACGAGCGCAACCCUUGAUCUUAGUUGCCAGCAUUCAGUUGGGCACUCUAAGGUGACUGCCGGUGACAAACCGGAGGAAGGUGGGGAUGACGUCAAAUCAUCAUGCCCCUUAUGACCUGGGCUACACACGUGCUACAAUGGGCAGAACAAAGGGCAGCGAAGCCGCGAGGCUAAGCCAAUCCCACAAAUCUGUUCUCAGUUCGGAUCGCAGUCUGCAACUCGACUGCGUGAAGCUGGAAUCGCUAGUAAUCGCGGAUCAGCAUGCCGCGGUGAAUACGA